rnacentral:rRNA from 1 species
UAAUACAUAAGUAACCUGCCCUAGACAGGGGGAUAACUAUUGGAAACGAUAGCUAAGACCGCAUAGGUACGGACACUGCAUGGUGACCGCAUUAAAAGUGCCUCAAAGCACUGGUAGAGGAUGGACUUAUGGCGCAUUAGCUGGUUGGCGGGGUAACGGCCCACCAAGGCGACGAUGCGUAGCCGACCUGAGAGGGUGACCGGCCACACUGGGACUGAGACACGGCCCAG